rnacentral:rRNA from 1 species
AUUGAACGCUGGCGGCAGGCCUAACACAUGCAAGUCGAGCGGAUGAAGGGAGCUUGCUCCUGGAUUCAGCGGCGGACGGGUGAGUAAUGCCUAGGAAUCUGCCUGGUAGUGGGGGAUAACGUCCGGAAACGGGCGCUAAUACCGCAUACGUCCUGAGGGAGAAAGUGGGGGAUCUUCGGACCCCACGCUAUCAGAUGAGCCUAGGUCGGAUUAGCUAGUUGGUGGGGUAAAGGCCUACCAAGGCGACGAUCCGUAACUGGUCUGAGAGGAUGAUCAGUCACACUGGAACUGAGACACGGUCCAGACUCCUACGGGAGGCAGCAGUGGGGAAUAUUGGACAAUGGGCGAAAGCCUGAUCCAGCCAUGCCGCGUGUGUGAAGAAGGUCUUCGGAUUGUAAAGCACUUUAAGUUGGGAGGAAGGGCAGUAAGUUGAUACCUUGCUGUUUUGACGUUACCAACAGAAUAAGCACCGGCUAACUUCGUG